CCUACGGGAGGCAGCAGUGAGGAAUAUUGGUCAAUGGCCGUAAGGCUGAACCAGCCAAGUCGCGUGAAGGAAGAAGGAUCUAUGGUUUGUAAACUUCUUUUAUAGGGGAAUAAAGGUAUCCACGUGUGGAUCUUUGCAUGUACCCUAUGAAUAAGCAUCGGCUAUCUCCGUGCCAGCAGCCGCGGUAUUACGGAGGAUGCGAGCGUUAUCCGGAUUUAUUGGGUUUAAAGGGUGCGUAGGUUGUUUUUUAAGUCAGCGGUGAAAGUUUGUGGCUCAACCAUAAAAUUGCCGUUGAAACUGGAAGACUUGAGUGUGUUUGAGGUAGGCGGAAUGCGUGGUGUAGCGGUGAAAUGCAGAGAUAUCACGCAGAACUCCGAUUGCGAAGGCAGCUUACUAAGCCAUAACUGACACUGAAGCACGAAAGCGUGGGGAUCAAACAGGAUUAGAUACCCUGGUAGUC
rnacentral:rRNA from 1 species